GACAAUCUGAAUUUUUCACAUCCAUCUUGUCCCCUGGUCUCUGGUGUUUUUUCUGCAGAUAAAAAAUUCUCCUUUACAUGAGAUAUUGGCCUGGGAGAACUAUCAACUCUCCUUUUUCUUUUCAUAGGAUGUCACUGGAGGUAAACAAGCAACAGAGAAGACAGGAUACACUGCUUCUGCAUGCUGUAGGCUCAAGAUUGCUGUGAAAGGUCAUGCCAUUCUAUUUCCACUGACUUCUGAAACUUUUUUCUUAAUCUGUAGUUAUAAUUUCCUUACAAAGUCAUCCUCCCUUUUCUUUCCUCUCCCCCCACAAUAAAUAAAUAAAUAAAUAAAUAAAUAAUUUUUUUAAAUAUUACACAAAUGGUAAACAUUCUAAGUCCAUUCUUUAUAAUCUGACAUCUCUUUAUUUCCACCAGUCUUUACAUUAAUACAAAUCUAAUUGCUGAAUUUAGUUCAAAAUGGCUUAAUGUUCAAAAGCGAUCUUGGCUUUAGACAAUGUCAGAAGAGAGGUUUUCCUUCCACAGAGCCUGUACUUGACAAAAGUGUCAAAUACGUUGAAUAAAAUAUGCUUCUUUCUGUGA